CAUGAUCAUUGUCAGGGUUCUUGGGUAGUGGUGUGCUUAGGCACAUCUUACCUUACAUUUUUAACACAAAAACACCUACAUAUCACAUUUUCAACGUAUCAACUUUUGUGAUGUGAUGUGCAUUAUUAAUAGUGCGGGAGUGUUUUUUAUAUAGUGCGCGAGUGUUGAAUUAUAGUGCGGGAGUGAAAAUCAAAUUUCAUCAGUUUUUACACUUACAUACACACACAUACACUUACACUUUCUACCCUGUUCAUGAUCAUUGUCAGGGUUCUUGGGUAGUGGUGUGCUUCGGCACAUCUUACCUUACAUUUUUAACACAAAAACACCUACAUAUCACAUUUUCAACGUAUCAACUUUUGUGAUGUGAUGUGCAUUAUUAAUAGUGCGGGAGUGUUUUUUAUAUAGUGCGCGAGUGUUGAAUUAUAGUGCGGGAGUGAAAAUCAAAUUUCAUCAGUUUUUACACUUACAUACACACACAUACACUUACACUUUCUACCCUGUUCAUGAUCAUUGUCAGGGUUCUUGGGUAGUGGUGUGCUUUGGCACAUCUUACCUUACAUUUUUAACACAAAAACACCUACAUAUUUUUCACAUCAUCGUAAAUAACAUAAAUUGAUACCAAACAACAUUGGGUCAGCAACAAUAGGAACCGAAUAAAAUGAAGAAUGAUACUCAAAGAUUGUAUUAGAUUUUAUUUUCUGGAGAAAACAUUUGUAAGCAGCCAACUUCAAAUAGCAUCAUUUAUAAUAAGACCAAGAAGAAAGAUAAUUUUACCAAAGAUGUAUGAAGAUAUAGCAUUAAGAAAAUGAAAAAUAUUUGCGAAUCAAAUUGUUCCGAACGAGAGACGAGAAAUUACACGAAGUCAAAGAUAAAAUGGAUCCUGAAUUAACAGAAGACUAAAUAUCAAGUUAGAUACAACCAGAGAAAUGGAAAAAAUGAAUCAAAUUGGAAGUUAGAAUUGGAUAUGAAUAACAACUAUGAUAAAUAAUUGUGUUUAUGUGUUUAUAUAGUGCGCGAGUGUGUUUAUAUAGUGUUUUAAAAUAUUUAUUAUAAUCAACAAUUAUUUAGAAGUACAGAAGAAAGAAGACAAAACCCCAGAAGAAGGAACUUAUCAAGAAAAAUAUCAACCUCAACUGAAAAUAAAUGGAAUUGGAUACAUCUCAGAAAGAGAAAUGAAAUAAAAAUGGAAAUGGUUAAAUGCUGAUAUCAACUUAUAGUGAAGUGUUGUGAAUUAUUAAUAGUGCACGAGUGUUGAAGUACGAGUAUAUUGUGCGAGCCGUUAUACAAGUGUUAGUGCGAGUGCGGGAGUGUCGUGAAAUAUUCAAAAAUUUCUUUACAGAUCAACAGUUUGCACGAUUGCACGAAAAGUCACUGUUUGAAAUAGGCAUGUUGCACGUUCUUAUGUCUCACUUUUGAAUGCAAAACAAGAAGAUCCUUCCAUCUUGAGGCCAAGGAGAGAUGAGGCGUUCUACUAAAAUAAGGCACAUUUCAAAGAAGUUGAGAAGAAGAAAAAGAAGAUGGUCCAUCCAUCCCCGCCGAGGUCAGUCCUGAGAGGUAUGCACCAGAUUCAGCCAUCUUUCCAACCGGAAGAACUCUUGAGGGUCAGGGUCCGAUGUGUAUACCCAUCAAGGAAUGGGCUGCUGCUCUUGGGGGUAUGUAAAGUUGGAAAGAAAUUGUGCUGAAGAAGAAGGAGAGGCCGAUGAUGUGCAGUUCCAUCCACGCAGAGGUAGAUCAUGAAGGAUGACCUGAUGUGAUGUAUCCAGUUUUCCAGCGAGAAAAAGCCUUUGGGGGUCAGGGUCCGAUGUGUACACCCAUCAAGGAAUGGGCUGCUGCCCUUAAGGGUUUGCACAACCGCAAAAAUGCUGUGGUGAGUAUUAUUAUCAUCAAAAUCAACUCAAAAUAUUAUUUAAAUUUUUAAUAAGUUAACAA